rnacentral:rRNA from 1 species
AGAGUUUGAUCAUGGCUCAGAUUGAACGCUGGCGGCAGGCCUAACACAUGCAAGUCGAGCGGUAGCACAGAGAGCUUGCUCUCGGGUGACGAGCGGCGGACGGGUGAGUAAUGUCUGGGAAACUGCCUGAUGGAGGGGGAUAACUACUGGAAACGGUAGCUAAUACCGCAUAACGUCGCAAGACCAAAGUGGGGGACCUUCGGGCCUCAUGCCAUCAGAUGUGCCCAGAUGGGAUUAGCUAGUAGGUGGGGUAAUGGCUCACCUAGGCGACGAUCCCUAGCUGGUCUGAGAGGAUGACCAGCCACACUGGAACUGAGACACGGUCCAGACUCCUACGGGAGGCAGCAGUGGGGAAUAUUGCACAAUGGGCGCAAGCCUGAUGCAGCCAUGCCGCGUGUGUGAAGAAGGCCUUCGGGUUGUAAAGCACUUUCAGCGGGGAGGAAGGCGUUAAGGUUAAUAACCUUGGCGAUUGACGUUACCCGCAGAAGAAGCACCGGCUAACUCCGUGCCAGCAGCCGCGGUAAUACGGAGGGUGCAAGCGUUAAUCGGAAUUACUGGGCGUAAAGCGCACGCAGGCGGUCUGUCAAGUCGGAUGUGAAAUCCCCGGGCUCAACCUGGGAACUGCAUUCGAAACUGGCAGGCUAGAGUCUUGUAGAGGGGGGUAGAAUUCCAGGUGUAGCGGUGAAAUGCGUAGAGAUCUGGAGGAAUACCGGUGGCGAAGGCGGCCCCCUGGACAAAGACUGACGCUCAGGUGCGAAAGCGUGGGGAGCAAACAGGAUUAGAUACCCUGGUAGUCCACGCCGUAAACGAUGUCGAUUUGGAGGUUGUGCCCUUGAGGCGUGGCUUCCGGAGCUAACGCGUUAAAUCGACCGCCUGGGGAGUACGGCCGCAAGGUUAAAACUCAAAUGAAUUGACGGGGGCCCGCACAAGCGGUGGAGCAUGUGGUUUAAUUCGAUGCAACGCGAAGAACCUUACCUGGUCUUGACAUCCACAGAACUUAGCAGAGAUGCUUUGGUGCCUUCGGGAACUGUGAGACAGGUGCUGCAUGGCUGUCGUCAGCUCGUGUUGUGAAAUGUUGGGUUAAGUCCCGCAACGAGCGCAACCCUUAUCCUUUGUUGCCAGCGGUUAGGCCGGGAACUCAAAGGAGACUGCCAGUGAUAAACUGGAGGAAGGUGGGGAUGACGUCAAGUCAUCAUGGCCCUUACGACCAGGGCUACACACGUGCUACAAUGGCAUAUACAAAGAGAAGCGACCUCGCGAGAGCAAGCGGACCUCAUAAAGUAUGUCGUAGUCCGGAUUGGAGUCUGCAACUCGACUCCAUGAAGUCGGAAUCGCUAGUAAUCGUAGAUCAGAAUGCUACGGUGAAUACGUUCCCGGGCCUUGUACACACCGCCCGUCACACCAUGGGAGUGGGUUGCAAAAGAAGUAGGUAGCUUAACCUUCGGGAGGGCGCUUACCACUUUGUGAUUCAUGACUGGGGUGAAGUCGUAACAAGGUAACCGUAGGGGAACCUGCGGUUGGAUCACCU